UGGGGAAUAUUGCACAAUGGGCGCAAGCCUGAUGCAGCCAUGCCGCGUGUAUGAAGAAGGCCUUCGGGUUGUAAAGUACUUUCAGCGGGGAGGAAGGGAGUAAAGUUAAUACCUUUGCUCAUUGACGUUACCCGCAGAAGAAGCACCGGCUAACUCCGUGCCAGCAGCCGCGGUAAUACGGAGGGUGCAAGCGUUAAUCGGAAUUACUGGGCGUAAAGCGCACGCAGGCGGUUUGUUAAGUAAGAUGUGAAAUCCCCGGGCUCAACCUGGGAACUGCAUCUGUUACUGGCAAGCUUGAGUCUCGUAGAGGGGGGUAGAAUUCCAGGUGUAGCGGUGAAAUGCGUAGAGAUCUGGAGGAAUACCGGUGGCGAAGGCGGCCCCCUGGACGAAGACUGACGCUCAGGUGCGAAAGCGUGGGGAGCAAACAGG
rnacentral:rRNA from 1 species